rnacentral:rRNA from 1 species
UCCUGAAGGAACGUUGAAGACGACGACGUUGAUAGGCCGGGUGUGUAAGCGCAGCGAUGCGUUGAGCUAACCGGUACUAAUGAACCGUGAGGCUUAACCUUACAACGCCGAAGRUGUU